rfam:Tupaia chinensis contig232166, whole genome shotgun sequence.
CUUCCUCUGCUUUACUUUAGGGGCUUUCUGCUCAUAGAGAGCCAUGGCAUUGCCUGAGAAGAGAGCGAGAGCACAUUCACCCACCACCACCUAAGGAAGACACUAUGCUCCAUGGGACCUAGGAAGGAUCUGACAGU